CCUGGCCUCAAAUGCCUCAGCCUCCCAAUGUGCUGGGAUUACAGGCAUGAGCUACCAUUCCUGACCAAGUUUUAAAUAGCACAGUACCACUUCACAGAUAGUGCAAGUACAUUAUAAUAAAACAUUUCUAUUUUUUCCCUCCCAUUAACUGUAUAAUAGCAUAAUUAUCAUUUCACUCAUACAUAAGCAUACAUAAUAUAAUUGAAUACAUUGUUGGUAUUUAUCCAUACUUGCAUGGCUUAGCUUUCAGCAACAAACACAAGAGCAAACCUAUACCGAUUUCUGCAGCUCUUUCUCUAUGCCGCUUCCUCUGUUUUGGCACUCUGCCCUGAAAACUGUGACUGCCUUAGCCUCACCAAACUUCAAUCUCUGAACCCUCCACUCAUGGGCACCCCUGUACUUGGCGUGGGUUCUCCUUUCAUGCUCUGAGGUCUGAAGAGUGCCCCCAGGCAGAGAGAGGAGAUGAUCAUGGGGUCCAUCUUAUUUGUCUCCUAUUUUUUCAGGGAUCAUAGUCCUGUGCUUCCUGUUAUCCAAUGUUUAAAAACUGCUGUUUCAUUUAUUUGUCCAGUGUUAUUGUUGUUUAUUAUGGGAGUACAAGUCCAACACAAGUUUCUGCAUCAUAGUGAAAGCAGAAUUUUUCAAUGUAAUUAUUUUAAAUGACAAAAUGCAAAUCAUUAUAUCGAAAGUGCUUUUUCAAAUUAAUAUCCCACUCCCACCAAAAUUCUGAUCACUGCUCUAUAGAGGACUUGGACCUUGUUUGAGAAUAACUCAUCAAGUGAAAUCCGUGGAUUUAAAGCCUUUAAUUCAACAUUAAUUCAAACAUUUAAUAAACUGUAUUGCCUGGCAGGCAUGGUGCUUGGUUCUGAAUAUACAGGGAAGAUGCCAUUGAUGCCUUAAGAAUUUCACUAUCAAAGUCAGCACCUUGUCAGAGUAUUAUAAACCCAGUAAGGGCAGUGACAGGAACAGGCCACUGAAUCCAGUUUAGAGACAGGUGGAAGGUUGUCAGGGAUUACUUCCGGAGGUGACAUUUAAGCUGAGUCUUUAAACAGGGAAGCAAUUUACCAAGCAAAGAGAGGACAGUCUGAGCAAAAACAUGAGGCAGAAACAGCACACAGUAUGCCUGUGAACAACAGGCCAUUUAAGGUUGCUGAACCAAAAAUUCCCAGAGAGGGAGAGGCAGCGGAUGGAGCUGGAGAGGCCAGGAGAGGUCAGGACAGGGAGGGCCUUCUGUGUCACACUGGGGAGCCUGCCACUAAGGGGUGAGUCUUUUACAUAACUUUGCUUGGUGGCUGGCAGGGUGCAUGCCCGCCUCAGCACGCAGCAGGUAUUAUUAGAUGAUGAUCACGAAAGGCAAAUCUGAGAAACCGCAAAACUCUGAGCAGAGCCAAAAUCCCUUAGGUUCUGAGGUUCCAGAAAGUUAUCUGACUCCUCUGACCCGUUGCAAAUUCAGCUGAGAUGUGUGACCGUGGUGGUCAGCCAGCCCUGAGGUGCUGCUUUCUUGGCAGUUGGCUGAGCCUCUAGGCUUGCAUCUAUGGCUGGAGCAUAGUAAGGAGGGGGAAGGGGAGAGUGUGAGUGAGUCAGAGAAGAAAGGCAGUGCUAGAAGAUAGAAGUCACGCUGAGAGGCACAGCCACAGUGGGACUCAGAUUGAAGGGAUAGAUCAAGAAGCACUUUAACGCAAGAUGAUUUCUAGUGUGGAGAAGAGAAUCAUAACCUUCCUCCCAGAAAACUCUGCAAAUACUUGGUGACCAACUGGACCACAAAGCUGUGUUUUCAGGCACUCCCUCCCUUCCCAUUGUAGGGGUCUCUGGGAGUGGGGCAGGGUUUCCAGUCUGAACUCAAGCCAGGAUUCAGACACAUCUAAACAAUGCGGAUGGGCUGGCCCCAGCAGAAGUCUAUUUGUCUGAGGGAUUGAGGGGCCUUCAGAAAAAUAAUCUACAUGGAAGAAAAUGGGAAUCCCACCUGAUCAGCUCAACCUAUAACAAGACUGAGUCCUUUGCAGGGCAGCGGGUCUGAAAAAAACUUCAAAUGAGCAGAUCACCAGGGCAUGAGUCGUUCUGGUCAGGUAUUUUCUUUAACAGGUAUAACAUGAAGAAGGGGACUAAGGCAUUCUUCCUGGCUUUGAAACAGAACAUAAAGCAGCUCUGGCUCCUUGAGGGCUUCAGGUGCUGAGCUGUAGUGAGGAAGGGAAUACCCCUGGGCUGCCCAGCAGGAGGUGGAAGGGCUAGAGAACAGGGUGAUCCACACAGGUGCCUGGCAAUGUGCCCAGACAGGAGCAAUCACAUGUUCAUGAACAUAUGUGAGACAUGCUACGGAACUGCAGGAAUAUCUCGGGGGUGAUUGGUAGUGGAGUGAAGUUCCACACGAGUUGGAAGAAGCAUGAACUAGGGAAAUGUGGAUUAUGACUGUUAAUGACUCCCACUGUGUAAGUGAUGAGGCCUAGGAAAAGCUGAGUUCUGCUAGGAAAGUACAAAGUUGAGGCUUCUCCAGGGAAUAGUUGGCAAGAUAAUAGCAGGAUUGUCCUUGCAGAAGUCCAAGCUGGACACGGUUGAUCAGCCGAAACUUUUUCUCUUGAAUUCUCCCUUUUGCAGCAUGUUUAUGAGCUGCAAAUGUCCCUCUUUGCUCAGGCCUAGGGCAGGAGUCCUUCCUAGAUCCUCAUGUCUACACACGUCCAUUUCAUGCCUAUUAAAUCCCACGUGCAAUCUCUACCACUAAAAAAAAAAAAAAAAAAAAAAAGCAGAGAUAGUUGCAGAGGUGCCUGUCUGAGCAAAAUUCGGAGGAGAUACAGGGAGGUAUCCAGGCCGCUGUGCCAAGCUCACACAAAGACAGACUCUGAGACAAAAGAUAGAAAGACACUAAGUACAAACAGCUCUUUUGUUUCCCACCUUAUCAUUUUCCAUGUUUUCUAAAUUAUCUACAGAAAAAGGCAAAUGCUAGUUUUUCAAAACCAAAUGUAAAAGAUACGAGUAAGCACAGCUUUUCACCAUCGACAUGGAGGAGGCUCGUCUGAGUUGUAUGUGCUUUCCCUUCUGGUCGCCCCUCGGGCAUUUGAUCUUGAUUAUGUAAUACACAGGAGUCACAGAGAGCAACCUCCUGGUAUGACGGAGGGAGUUCCAUCAUGCAGAUGAUGCGAACGGUCUGUGUGGCUAAGCACUGCCAAAUUCGACCAAUCUAUGCUUCGUGGCAUCCCCCUCGGGGUCAAGGACCCUUCUGUGGAAGGAGACAGACAUUAACAUAUUUUCCCACUCACCUCCACUGGAUCUUGGCUCACCCAGCAAGACUGAUUGACAAUCCCCAAAGGCUGUUGGCCAACUAUUUGCAAGAGGGGUCCAUGGAGAGAGGCCUCCUCCACCUGUUACUCUUUUCUCUAUCACUUCACAUCCAUAGGGGUCCCUAAGCCCCAAGAGAAGGGUCAAGUGCAAAUCUGGUAAGCCAAGAAGACCUACCAGUUGUCAACUUAAUUAGCCUUCAGCAAAAUAUAUGGCUACGUGAGCACAGUAAAGUUGCUAUAGAGACAGGCAGAGGAGGUGCAUUGAGAACACGGCCUCAUCACAUCACCCGAUAAAAAUAAGACCCAGGCUUUUUAAUAGCAUGAAUUACUUAAGCUUUAUAUUUAACAGGGGAUGACACCAAGGCUCUCACUGCUUUUCAGAACAUUUGAGGAAUCUAGGCUGCCUGCUUCAGCAUAUGUUAGCAGCCAUCACAACAUAUGCUCUUGUGGAUGGCAAUGAAGAACUGGAAGCCCACAUGUCUCUCCCACCCCCUGAGAUGAGAGAUGGUCUUUCUGACUUUGGGUUUGUCCUCUUUAAUUGGGUGAGAGAUUUUCAAUGUGUUUCGGAUAAAUUUCUGGGAAAUAGCUAUGCUGUGUUCUGCACCGGGCCAGUUGCAUCUAUUAUUGCUCGUCACUAUAACAACCUUUGGAAGUAAAGAUCUCAUUUUGCAGAUGACAAAAUAAUGAAGCUCAGAGAGGUCCAGAACUUUCCCAGGGUCACACAGCUAAUGAAUGGUAGAGUUGAGAUUCAUAUCCAGGUAUCCCCAUUCCAAAGCCUCAUUUUAUGAGAAAUCAACCACAGCCUCUGCACAGAGAGGAAUCUAGGAUGAGGUGAAUCUCAGAAGCUUCACCAUUUUUAUUGGUAUAUGGCAUGGACAUUGCUAUAGUUUAAUCCCUCUCCUAAGGCAGUUCCAAAGUGGAUGGGUACCAAGAAAUUCCACAGAGUUUCUGAGCUCUGCUGGUGAGCACCUCUCCACUUACCCAAGGCAAGUGUUAAUUUCAGACUGACUUCUCCUUACCAUCCAAAAUGUUUCUGGACUGUCUCUUCCCUAAGUGAAGACCACCAGCAUAAUUAACACAAGAUUCCAUACAGCAUCACUGAGAAAGUGUCCCCACUGCUCUUGCAUCCAUGAAAGCUUAACUAUAUGAAACCCAGUGGGAAAUCCAAAGUGAAGUUCUUUUUGUUGACAACUUUCUCUUUGGAUUAUUCAUGAGCCUCUUACUUUGCAGAAAGAUUU